GGAGGGCAAGUCUGGUGCCAGCAGCCGCGGUAAUUCCAGCUCCAAUAGCGUAUAUUAAGGUUGUUGCAGUUAAAAAGCUCGUAGUUGAAUUUCGGGGUUAGUAGGUUGGUCAUGCCUCUGGUAUGUACUGGUCUCACUGAUUCCUCCUUCCUUAUGAACCGUAAUGCCAUUAAUUUGGUGUUGCGGGGAAUUUGGACUGUUACUUUGAAAAAAUUAGAGGUUUAAAGCAGGC
rnacentral:rRNA from 1 species